rnacentral:rRNA from 1 species
GCAUAUCAAUAAGCGGAGGAAAAAGAAAACUAACAAGGAUUUCCCCUAGUAACUGCGAGUGAAGCGGGAAAAAGCUCAAAUUUAAAAUCUGGCAGUCUUUGAUUUGUCCGAGUUGUAAUCUAGAGAAGUGUUAUCCGCGUUGGACCGUGUACAAGUCUCCUGGAAUGGAGCGUCAUAGAGGGUGAGAAUCCCGUCUUUGACACGGACUACCAGUGCUUUGUGAUGCGCUCUCAAAGAGUCGAGUUGUUUGGGAAUGCAGCUCAAAAUGGGUGGUAAAUUCCAUCUAAAGCUAAAUAUUGGCGAGAGACCGAUAGCGAACAAGUACCGUGAGGGAAAGAUGAAAAGAACUUUGGAAAGAGAGUUAAACAGUACGUGAAAUUGCUGAAAGGGAAACGCUUGAAGUCAGUCGCGUUGUCCGGGGAUCAACCUUGCUUUUGCUGGGUGUACUUUCCGGUUGACGGGUCAGCAUCAAUUUUGACCGUUGGAUAAAGUGUAGGGGAAUGUGGCAUCUUCGGAUGUGUUAUAGCCUCUGCUCGCAUACAACGGUUGGGAUUGAGGAACUCAGUACGCCGCAAGGCCGGGAAUUUAUUCCACGUUCGUACUUAGGAUGCUGGCAUAAUGGCUUUAAUCGACCCGUCUUGAAACACGGACCAAGGAGUCUAACAUGCCUGCGAGUGUUUGGGUGGAAAACCCGAGCGCGUAAUGAAAGUGAAAGUUGAGAUCCCUGUCGUGGGGAGCAUCGACGCCCGGACCAGACCUUUUGUGACGGAUCUGCGGUAGAGCAUGUAUGUUGGGACCCGAAAGAUGGUGAACUAUGCCUGAAUAGGGUGAAGCCAGAGGAAACUCUGGUGGAGGCUCGUAGCGAUUUCUGACGUGCAAAUCGAUCGUCAAAUUUGGGUAUAGGGGCGACAAGACUAAUCCCAACCAUCUAGUAGCUGGUUCCUGCCGAAG